rfam:Medicago truncatula strain A17 chromosome 2, whole genome shotgun sequence.
AAAUAGAGUCGAAUGGAGUAUGUUAUGCUCAUCAUAUUGGUGAGUGUUGUAUGGCUAUCAAGACAUAUGAUUGACAUAAUUUUUGUGAUAUUAUAAGGUUAGUUCGUCAAGUCGACCCUUCC